AUUGAACGCUGGCGGCAUGCCUUACACAUGCAAGUCGAACGGCAGCACGGGUGCUUGCCCCUGGUGGCGAGUGGCGAACGGGUGAGUAAUACAUCGGUACCUGUCCUUUUGUUGGGGAUAGCCCGGCGAAAGCCGGAUUUAUACCGCAUACGAUCUACGGAUGAAAUCGGGGUACCUUCGGGCCUCGCUCUUUUGUGUUUGCCGAUGGCUGAUUAGCUAGUUGGUUGGGUAAAGUCCUACCAAGGCAACGAUCAGUAGCUGGUCUGAGAGGACGACCAGCAACACGGGAACUGAGACACGGCCCAGAGUCCCACGGGAGGAAGCAGAGGGGAAUGUUGGACAAUGGGCGAAAGCAUGAUCAAGCAAUGCCGCGUGUGUGAAGAAGGCCUUCGGGUUGUAAAGCACUUUUGUACGGAAAGAAAAGAUUGGGCCUAAUAAGGUCGGGGGAUGACGGUACCGGAAGAAUAAGCACCGGCUAACUACGUG
rnacentral:rRNA from 1 species